GAAGUGAUUCUGGUUAUCCAAGAUGGCCGCCUCCAUCAUGUUACGGUGUUCAGCUACACAAUGAGGCUUUGCUCAUGAUUAUACAAUAGAUUAAACUGAGUCAAACUGUGUCUUAAAUCACAUCACUGAAGAACUGGAUGUGAUUUGAGGCAGGAAAGAUUUAGAGUAAAGAGUUUAGGGGAGGUACAUUUCUCUUUCUUUUUAUCUACAUUAGAAACAAACUUUAGACACUGAACAUGUCAUUGCAGAUUGACUACAUUUGGGCUAUGUUAGCUUUGCAUCUCCCGGUAUCUCCAUUUGGACACAAUACAUCUCAUUUGUUGAACUACAUUUGAGAAGUGUGUGUGGUGGUGGGAUUGUGAUUAGCAGGCUGCAGCUGGUUGGGAUGGGUGAUGUGAGAGAGUGCACCCUUGGUCCCGUCUCAAACACAAAACCCAGGGAGAGUGCAGGCACGUCACCUCGGCUUUUACACUCCAGAGCACAAAGCUGAACAACUCCAACAUCGGCGGCGUGCACAGCUGCAGCACGUCAUCCGUAAGGAAACACACACAUACACACACAUACACACACGCACACAGAGCCAUCAGCAUCCGCCCAGACACCACUGCUGCUUCAUGCGUCCAACCCUCCAGGCUACACACAACUUGCAUGCAUGACUACAUACGCACAACUCCAGAAUUAUUGGCACCCUUUCACGAAGAUGGCCAAAAAUAACACACGCAGUAAUACUCCCAGUUUAAACAUAUUGGAACACUGUGUAGUUUUAUUUCAACACAAUAUUUUUAUCCCACAAUUAAUAUCUUGUAAAGCCUUUCCUGGCGAGAAUAGCAGCACUGAGCCAUCUCCUGCAAUGCCUAACAGUUAGAGACACUUGUAGAGGAUCUUUAAUAUCCUUUAUAUUCACUUUAUAUUCAUAAUUUAUACUCCUGGGGAAUCCCUGGUUCAUCCUGAGCUUAGGUUACUGUCCGUGCUUGUUCUCCCCGUGUCCAUGUGCAUUUCCUCCGGUUUCCUCCCACCAGCCAAAACAUGGCAAUGGGUGUACUGGCUAUGUUAAAUUGCCGCUAGGUGUGAAUGUGUGUGCAAGGUGUUCUGCAGUGGACUGGCAUCUCAUCUAGUGGACUGGUAUUCUCACCUGUGACAUUGACCAGAAUAAAGCAGAUACUGCAGAUGAAUGAAUGAAAAAUGAACAUAUUCUAGUGUUUGUACAUGUGGCUUCUUAAAUUCAGACCACAGCUUUAUGGUAGAGUUUUAAAUCUGUAAAUGGAGAUGGAUAUUGUAAAACAUUGAUUAUGUCUAUGUUUUUGUAUUGGUUUAGAUGUACCUGCAUUUUU